rnacentral:rRNA from 1 species
UACGGGGGGGGCAAGCGUUGUUCGGAAUUACUGGGCGUAAAGGGCUCGUAGGCGGCCAACUAAGUCAGAUGUGAAAGCCCCGGGCUUAACCUGGGAACUGCGUUUGAAACUGGGAGACUUGAGUGUGGCAGAGGGGGGUGGAAUUCCACGUGUAGCAGUGAAAUGCGUAGAUAUGUGGAGGAACACCGAUGGCGAAGGCAGCCCCCUGGGUUAACACUGACGCUCAUGCACGAAAGCGUGGGGAGCAAACAGG